rnacentral:lncRNA from 1 species
AUAUAAACUCUCCACUCAUCUCAAAUCCUUAAGUUCAAGGAUAAGUUUCAAGAAAAUCAUGGUACUAAGUCUCGAUUUAUCUCUCAUAUAAGGCUCGUCCAAUCUCAUUCAACACAUAGACAACACAAUCACAUAAGGCAUAUAAGAAAACACAAUCAAACAUUAUCAAAACAUGCUCUGUUUUUACACUGACUCAACUUCAAAAUCUAACCUGUUCUUACUUCGACACCUCCUGGACUCGAGACUCAUA